rnacentral:rRNA from 1 species
UACGUAGGGAGCAAGCGUUGUCCGGAUUUAUUGGGCGUAAAGAGCUCGUAGGCGGUUCGGUAAGUCGGGUGUGAAAACUCCAGGCUCAACCUGGAGAUGCCACUCGAUACUGCUGUGACUUGAAUCUGGUAGGGGAGCACGGAAUUCCUGGUGUAGCGGUGAAAUGCACAGAUAUCAGGAGGAACACCGGUGGCGAAGGCGGUGCUCUGGGCCAGUAUUGACGCUGAGGAGCGAAAGCGUGGGGAGCGAACAGG